GACGAACGCUGGCGGCGUGCUUAACACAUGCAAGUCGAACGAAGUGGCGAACGGGUGAGUAACGCGUAAUCAACCUGCCCUUCAGAGGGGGACAACAGUUGGAAACGACUGCUAAUACCGCAUACUGAAGGAGGGGAUUGCGUCUGAUAAGCUAGUUGGAGGGGUAACGGCCCACCAAGGCGAUGAGCAGUAGCCGGUCUGAGAGAAUGCACGGCAACAUGGGGAGUAAGACGCGGCCCAGACUCCGACGGUAGGCAGCAGUGGGGAAUCGGCCGAAAUGGACGAAAGUCUGACGUAGCAACGCCGCGUGAGUGAUGACGGCCUUAGGGUUGUAAAGCUCCGUUAAUCGGGACGCGGUACCGGAAUAGAAAGCCACGGCUAACUACGUGCCAGCAGCCGCGGGAAUA
rnacentral:rRNA from 1 species